rnacentral:rRNA from 1 species
UUGCCAUCAUUCAGUUGGGCACUCUAGCGAGACUGCCGGUAAUAAACCGGAGGAAGGUGGGGAUGACGUCAAAUCAUCAUGCCCCUUACUGACCUGGGCGUACACACGUGCUACAAUGGUUGGUACAACGAGUUGCGAGUCGGUGACGGCGAGCUAAUCUCUUAAAGCCAAUCUCAGUUCGGAUUGUAGGCUGCAACUCGCCUACAUGAAGUCGGAAUCGCUAGUAAUCGCGGAUCAGCACGCCGCGGUGAAUACGUUCCCGGGCCUU